ensembl:lncRNA
UUUUCAUAUAACAGGAAACAUAACUCAGACAGGAAGCACAAAUACAACAGCGUAAAAAAAACAGCUUCUUGAAGAACUUUGUAAUUAACAAACAUGUCCUCUACUCUGAGUCUUAGAGUUUUUACAUCUAGUAGAAUGCCUUCAGUAUGGAUGGUGCUUCUUCAUUUUCAUAUAAGCAAUGCUGUUGCAGAGACGAUCAGAGUAUUUGGACGUAAAGGAGACUCCAUAAUCCUUGACCCUGGAAAAAAUAACGUGUGGAAUCAAAGGCAAUCAAUACCUGGAUUUGACAUGAGAUGGAAACAUUCAGAUAUGUAUAUUGUUAAAUAUUCCAAAGUACUGCCUAAUUUCGCUGAAAGGUAUAAGAUAUUUCCAAAUGGUACACUGAUGAUUAGCCAAGGACAUGAGACAGGCCGGGAAAAUUAUACAGUGGAACAAUAUAAUGGUAAUGGAGGUCUGAUAUCCCAGCGGAACAUUGAGCUCUGUGUGCUAGAACCAGUCACCAAACCAAAGGUGAGAUACUUUUGUUCUCAUAACGGAACGAUUAUUCUGAACUGCUCUGUUGAUAAAGGAGACCAGGUGGUGAUCAACUGGAUUGUGCAGGAUUUCUUGUCUAAUAACAUCCUGAGCACAGAUCCUGUCAUAUUUAUGGGCGACCAAAUGCCUGGAAAUCUGUCCUGUGUGGCAAAGAAUGAAAUAAGUAAAGAAUGCAUCAGCCCAGAUGUUCAUAGAUGCAGAGGUUACUAUUCAACUGUAACUGCAUUUGGACUCCUGGCAUUUGCCCUAUUGAUGCUCGUGGUGACCAUUCUGGAUUUGAAAAAGUGGUGCAAGAAGACAAAACCAGCAGGUGUGGAGGAGGACCACUAUGUUGAGAUGAAAGGAGAUUUAUUCAUUCAGCAACAGGAGGAAGCCACAGCCGACCCAGACCAAGGCAUCUCCCAAAACGGUAACACACACAGCAAAAAAUCUAUCUCAAAAUACUUGUUGCUUUGGGGCAAUCCAUUCCGUGUAAAUGUUUAGGGUUUUAGUCUGGUUGUCAGUAUAAGCACUUUCAACAACUGCUAAUAUAAAAAGGGAUUUGCAAAAAGUGUUCGAUUCCCUGAUUAAAUGACACUAUACAUUGCGAACUUCCUCAAGUGAUGCAAAUAGGAAUGUUUUCUCUAUUUCACUAGUAGAAACUGGACAGCCAUAUUUCCAGGAUGUAAGCAAACCUCUAUAUUCGGAUUCAUAGCGAUUUCAUUGCAAUUUUCAGAGAUCAGAAGUGCCAUUGUUUCACAAUUUUAAAAAGACUGCCUAGCUAGUGAGCCCUCUAGAAUCUGUAAAAACUAUGGCAACAAUUUUGGCCACCUUUAAGGGUGAGAACACGAUGUGCAAAAUAUCUAAAAUACUGCUGUGGUUCAUAAAUAUAAAUAUGAACACUCACAUAAAUAGAUGGGUGACAAAUUAAAGACAAAAACAACAUGAUGUGUCUCAUUAAGGUGUUGGGCCCCCAAGAGCUGCCAAAAUAGUUUCAACAUGCAUUGGCAUAAAUCCCACAAGUCUCCAGAACUUUACUGGAGGGAUGGAACACCAUUCUUCCUAAAGAUAUUGCCUCAUUUGGUGUUUUGAUGAUGGUGGUGGAGAGCUCUGUCUAACACUUAGAGCCUUUCUUCUUGCCACCUUGAUCCGAAAUCUAGGUCAACUAGGUCUGCCUAGAUUUUUCAUACAUGCCACAAAGCAUGACAGGUUGUUAAUUGCUUAACAGUUUUAGAUGAGAUUCAACUUUAUUGUCAUUGAACAGUACAAGCACAUUACAACAAAAUGCAGUUAGCAUCUAACCAGGAGUGCAAAUAGAAGAGGGCAGAAAUGUACAAGUAUUAAGUAUAAUGAAUUAUACAAGUGGGAUGUAUAGAUGUGCAACAAAGGCAAAUGCAAGUACAAAUGACAAUUCUAAAUAUGCAACGAAGGCAAAUAGAAGGUAGCAUGUGCAACUGAAAUGCAGGGAUAUCAGCAAUGAGGUCCCAGAGGAAGACAUGUAUAUGUAACAACUUAAAACAUCCUUAUCAGACUUUGUAAAGCAGUGUCAGAGUCCAGUAGUACAAGGAGAGUAGUGCAAAAAGAUCCCUGAGAGGCAGUACUAGCGGUGGGUGGGUAUGGUUCGUGAUGGGUCACAGAGUUCAGCAGGGUUACAGUAGAUGGAAAGAAACUGCUGGUGUGAGAACGAAGAGACCUGUACCGUCUGCCUGAUGGUUGGAGGGCAAAUAUGGAGUUAGAUGUGUCUCAAUAUUCGUAAAUAUAUCUAGAAAAUCUGUGCGUAUAGUUAUCACAACUCACAAAUAAAAA